rnacentral:rRNA from 1 species
UGGGGAAUUUUGUACAAUGGGGGAAACCCUGAUGCAGCGACGCCGCGUGAUUUAGAAGGCCUUCGGGUUGUAAAAAUCUUUUCUAUGGGAAGAAAAUGACAGUACCAUAGGAAUAAGGACCGGCUAAUUACGUGCCAGCAGCCGCGGUAAUACGUAAGGUCCGAGCGUUGUCCGGAAUCAUUGGGCGUAAAGGGUACGUAGGCGGGUAAGCAAGUUAGAAGUGAAAUCCUGUAGCUCAACUACAGUAAGCUUUUAAAACUGCUCAUCUUGAGAUAUGGAAGGGAAAGUGGAAUUCCUAGUGUAGCGGUGAAAUGCGCAGAUAUUAGGAGGAAUACCGGUGGCGAAGGCGACUUUCUGGCCAUAAUCUGACGCUGAGGUACGAAAGCGUGGGUAGCAAACAGG